UACGUAGGGGGCUAGCGUUAUCCGGAAUCAUUGGGCGUAAAGCGCGUGUAGGCGGUCCGGUAAGUCCGCUGUGAAAGUCGGGGGCUCAACCCUCGAAUGCCGGUGGAUACUGUCGGGCUAGAGUGCGGAAGAGGCGAGUGGAAUUCCUGGUGUAGCGGUGAAAUGCGCAGAUAUCAGGAGGAACACCAAUUGCGAAGGCAGCUCGCUGGGACGUUACUGACGCUGAGACGCGAAAGCGUGGGUAGCGAACAGG
rnacentral:rRNA from 1 species